AGCUUUGUGCAGUGGCAGUAUGUUAGCCAAGGAGGUUAAUCUGAGGUGUGAUUAUUGCUAAUGGAAAACUUUUCCCAAUACCCUGCCACGAUGACUUGAAAUAUUAAGAGGGCUGGAACACCUCUCCUAUGAGG